UUGUGAGAAAUUAGAAAAAUUAUAAACUAUGUGGCAAAUUCAGCAUAUCAAAAUGUGUGAAAUGCAGCUAAACUGUGUUUGCAGAGAAAUCUGUACCUUAAACCCUAUGCUUUAAAAAGAUCAGUGUAAAAUUAAAUACAGGUGUACGUUUUUGUAUUGUGCCAGACUUCACUGUAUUUCCAAGAUUGACUUUCUAAAAAAAUUAAAACUCUGUAGCAAGCCUAUGUUGAACAAGUCUAUCACUGCCAUUUUUUUAAAAGCAUGUGAUUACUUUGUGUCUCUAUGUCACAUUCUGGUAAUUCUUACAAUAUUUAAAACUUUUUCAUUAUUAUUGUAUCUGUUACGGUGACCCUGUGAUCAGUGAUCUUUGAUGUUACUACUGUAAUUGUUUUGGGCUCCACAAACUGAGCCCAUAUAAGACAGCAAACUUAACUGAUAAAUGUUUAUGUGUUCUGACUGAUCUACCGACCAGCUGUUCCGUGUCUCUCUCCCUUUCCUUAGGUCUCCCUAUUCCCUGAGACACAACAAUAUUGAAAUUAGGCCAAUUAAUAACCCCACAAUGGCCUCUAAGUGUUCAGGUGAAAGGACGAGAUGCAUCUGUCACUUUAAAUCAAGAGUUAGAAAUGACUAAGCUUAGAGAGGAAAGCACGCUGAAAGCUGAGAUAGGUCAAAAGCUAGGCCUCUUGCACCAGUUAGCCAAGUGAACACAAAGGAAAAAUUAUUGAAGGAAAUUAAAAGUGAUACUCCAGUGAUCAGUGAUGAACGGUAAGAAAGGAAAACAACCUUACUGCUGAUAUGGAGAAAAUUUUAAUGGUCUGGACAGAAGAUCAAACCAACCACUGCGUUCCCGUAAGCCAAAGCCUUAAUCCAGAGCAAGGCUCUAACUCUCUUCAAUCCUAUGAAGGCUGAGUGAAGUGAGAAACCUGCAGAAGAAAAAUCUGAAGCUAGUAGAGGUUGGAUCAUGAGCUGUAAGGAAAGAAGCCAUCUCCAGAACAUGUAAGUACAGGUAACGCAGGAAGUGUAACAAGUUAUCCGGAAGAUUUCACUAAGAUCACUGAUGAAGGUGGC
rnacentral:lncRNA from 1 species